rnacentral:rRNA from 1 species
CCUACGGGUGGCAGCAGUCGAGAAUCAUUCACAAUGGGGGAAACCCUGAUGGUGCGACGCCGCGUGGGGGAAUGAAGGUCUUCGGAUUGUAAACCCCUGUCAUGUGGGAGCAAAUUAAAAAGAUAGUACCACAAGAGGAAGAGACGGCUAACUCUGUGCCAGCAGCCGCGGUAAUACAGAGGUCUCAAGCGUUGUUCGGAAUCACUGGGCGUAAAGCGCGCGUAGGCUGUUUCGUAAGUCGUGUGUGAAAGGCGCGGGCUCAACCCGCGGACGGCACAUGAUACUGCGAGACUAGAGUAAGGGAGGGGGAACCGGAAUUCUCGGUGUAGCAGUGAAAUGCGUAGAUAUCGAGAGGAACACUCGUGGCGAAGGCGGGUUCCUGGACAUUAACUGACGCUGAGGCACGAAGGCCAGGGGAGCGAAAGGGAUUAGAUACCCUAGUAGUC